rnacentral:snoRNA from 2 species
UUGCCCUGUACCUCGCUCGGCGUGAAGAUUUCAUUCUUGCGUCUUGAGCUGGAUAUCUCUGUUCAAGAUUCCAUCGUGGAUUACGAAUACAGAUAAUGGGCUAUAAGAACGUGGUUUUCUUUUGAGUACGGAUUGGCCAGAUUUUGAUGGUCCGUUCGUAAUUAUAAAACCCAACACAC